rnacentral:rRNA from 1 species
GACGAACGCUGGCGGCGUGCUUAACACAUGCAAGUCGAACGAUGAACCAGGAGCUUGCUCUUGGGAAUUAGUGGCGAACGGGUGAGUAACACGUGAGUAACCUGCCCUUGACUCUGGGAUAACCUCCGGAAACGGAAGCUAAUACCGGAUACGAACUGCGAAGGCAUCUUCAGCAGUUGGAAAGAACUUCGGUCAAGGAUGGACUCGCGGCCUAUCAGGUAGUUGGUGAGGUAACGGCUCACCAAGCCUACGACGGGUAGCCGGCCUGAGAGGGUGACCGGCCACACUGGGACUGAGACACGGCCCAGACUCCUACGGGAGGCAGCAGUGGGGAAUAUUGCACAAUGGGCGCAAGCCUGAUGCAGCAACGCCGCGUGAGGGAUGACGGCCUUCGGGUUGU